rnacentral:rRNA from 1 species
GUCUAAGGCCAUGCCACCCUGAACAAGCCCAGUGUCUGAUCUCGGAAGCUAAACAAAGUCGGGCCUGGUUAGUACUUGGAUGGGAGACCACCUAGGAAGACCAGGUGCUGUAGGCA